GCUGUGGCUCAGUGGUAGAGCACUUACCUCACAUCUGUGAGGCCCUGGGUUCGAUUCUCAGCACUGCA
rfam:Ictidomys tridecemlineatus contig108105, whole genome shotgun sequence.